rnacentral:lncRNA from 1 species
UGUAGGAUUUAAUAAUGUCCCUAAUGAAAAAAUGUCCACCGGACACAUUUUCAUAGUAAAUACUGUCCAAGGACAAUAUUUACUUAUUUAGAUGGGUCCUGGACACAAUUUUCUAUGAAAAUAUGUCCUCCGGUAUGAAAAAGUGUCCAUGAACAUGGACAUAAUUCACUAUCAUAAUAUUGUCCAGGUGGACAUUUUUUUCACAGGACAUUGUGUACGCAAAGGCAUUUUUUG